rnacentral:lncRNA from 1 species
CAGACUUCCAAAGAAUGCGUAUGUGGGAAUCAUCAUCGACCAGAAGACACUGUAACUGUGAUUGAAGUAGGAAUCUGUACAUUCUUGCUGGCAUCCUGACUGCCUCAGAGAGGCACCUUCAUCACCUCUGAGAUGGCAUCUGACAUUUCCUCCAGCCAGUUACAUGCAGGUGCCCUGUGCAUCAAGAAAGAUUGAAGGAGCACCUGGGUGGCUCAGUCAGUUAAACAUCUGCCUUUGGCUCUGGUCAUGAUCCCAGGUCCUGGAAUGGAGCCCUGCUUUGGGCUCCCUGCUCAGCAAGGAGCCUACAUCUCCC